rnacentral:rRNA from 1 species
UACGGAGGAUGCAAGCGUUAUCCGGAAUUAUUGGGCGUAAAGCGUCCGCAGGUGGUUUAUCAAGUCUGCUGUCAAAGCGCGAGGCUUAACUUCGUAAAGGCAGUGGAAACUGAUAGACUGGAGUGCGGUAGGGGCAGAGGGAAUUCCCGGUGUAGUGGUGAAAUGCGUAGAUAUCGGGAGGAACAUCGGUGGCGAAGGCGGUUCUCUGGGCCUUACCUGACGCUGAGGAGCGAAAGCGUGGGGAGCAAACAGG